rnacentral:rRNA from 1 species
UGGCGACCGGCGCACGGGUGCGUAACGCGUAUAGAACUUACCUUUUACAGAGGGAUAGCCUUUAGAAAUGAAGAUUAAUACCUCAUAGUAUUGAAUUUUGGCAUCAAGAUUUAAUUAAAGAUUUAUCGGUAAAAGAUGGCUAUGCGUCCUAUUAGCUAGAUGGUGAGGUAACGGCUCACCAAGACUUCGAUCUUUAGGGGUUCUGAGAGGAUGAUCCCCCACACUGGUACUGAGAUACGGACCAGACUUC